rnacentral:rRNA from 1 species
GACGAACGUUGGCGGCGUGCUUAACACAUGCAAGUCGAACGAAGAGCGAUGGAAGCUUGCUUCUAUCAAUCUUAGUGGCGAACGGGUGAGUAACGCGUAAUCAACCUGCCCUUCAGAGGGGGACAACAGUUGGAAACGACUGCUAAUACCGCAUACGAUCUAAUCUCGGCAUCGAGGAUAGAUGAAAGGUGGCCUCUACAUGUAAGCUAUCACUGAAGGAGGGGAUUGCGUCUGAUUAGCUAGUUGGAGGGGUAACGGCCCACCAAGGCGAUGAUCAGUAGCCGGUCUGAGAGGAUGAACGGCCACAUUGGGACUGAGACACGGCCCAGACUCCUACGGGAGGCAGCAGUGGGGAAUCUUCCGCAAUGGACGAAAGUCUGACGGAGCAACGCCGCGUGAGUGAUGACGGCCUUCGGGUUGUAAAGCUCUGUUAAUCGGGACGAAAGGCCUUCUUGCGAACAGUUAGAAGGAUUGACGGUACCGGAAUAGAAAGCCACGGCUAACUACGUG